rnacentral:tmRNA from 1 species
CUUCUUGAUUUCAUCGCAAAAAGGUCUAUCUUUAUACUGUUGAUGCAAAUCAACUAUGGCGAUAAACAUCAUGUGAAAUAGACGGAGCGGACCCGGGGGCGGUACCCGGCGCCUCCACCAAAAAUAUGGGGGCGAAAUAGGAUCGACGUACGUGAUAAAGAUAUGAUUUUUGCCCGGCAUUGUUCCGCCGUUAUCGGGCUAUUUUUAUAAGUGCCAAUUUAAACAGCACUCGCUUAGGUGCAAACCGUAAUCGUCGGAAAGCUGCAAAUGCUAACCGCGGUCAACGUUUUGCAAUCGCUGCCUAACCUUCAGUAUUACUGUCGGUAAGGUUGUGAAACUUAGCGCGGUACGGGGGCAACCGGGCAACAGAAUGCCCCCACU